rnacentral:rRNA from 1 species
AUUGAACGCUGGCGGCAGGCCUAACACAUGCAAGUCGAACGGUAACAGGAAGAAGCUUGCUUCUUUGCUGACGAGUGGCGGACGGGUGAGUAAUGUCUGGGAAACUGCCUGAUGGAGGGGGAUAACUACUGGAAACGGUAGCUAAUACCGCAUAACGUCGCAAGACCAAAGAGGGGGACCUUCGGGCCUCUUGCCAUCGGAUGUGCCCAGAUGGGAUUAGCUAGUAGGUGGGGUAACGGCUCACCUAGGCGACGAUCCCUAGCUGGUCUGAGAGGAUGACCAGCCACACUGGAACUGAGACACGGUCCAGACUCCUACGGGAGGCAGCAGUGGGGAAUAUUGCACAAUGGGCGCAAGCCUGAUGCAGCCAUGCCGCGUGUAUGAAGAAGGCCUUCGGGUUGUAAAGUACUUUCGGCGGGGAGGAAGGGAGUAAAGUUAAUACCUUUGCUCAUUGACGUUACCCGCAGAAGAAGCACCGGCGAACUCCGU